UAAGGAAUAUUGGUCAAUGGGCGCAAGCCUGAACCAGCCAUGCCGCGUGCAGGAGGAAGGCCCUACGGGUUGUAAACUGCUUUUAUCUGGGGAUAAACCUUACUAUGCGUAGUAAGCUGAAGGUACCAGAUGAAUAAGGAUCGGCUAACUCCGUGCCAGCAGCCGCGGUAAUACGGAGGAUCCGAGCGUUAUCCGGAUUUAUUGGGUUUAAAGGGUGCGUAGGCGGCUCAUUAAGUCAGUGGUGAAAGGUAACCGCUUAACGGGGACACUGCCAUUGAUACUGAUGAGCUGGAGUACAGAUGAAGUGGGCGGAAUGUGUCAAGUAGCGGUGAAAUGCAUAGAUAUGACACAGAACACCAAUUGCGAAGGCAGCUCACUAAAGUGUAACUGACGCUGAGGCACGAAAGCGUGGGGAUCGAACA
rnacentral:rRNA from 1 species